rnacentral:lncRNA from 1 species
AGAGAGAGGGAGAGGGAGGGAGGGAGAGAGAGAUUCAGAUAGAGAAAGAGAGAGGGAGGGAGAGAGAGAUUCAACAAGAGAAAGAGAGAGGGAGGGAGAGAGAGAUUCAACAAGAGAAAGAGAGAGGGAGGGAGAGAGAGAUUCAACAAGAGAAAGAGAGAGGGAGCAGAGAGAGUCUGCUGAGGAUAAGGGGGGAAGCUCCACACCAGUGCAGUUAGUAGGCGUGCCCACCUUGUCUUUCACAGGAGCUGGUUCACUGGCCAGCUGCAUCCUCCAUCCUCCACUACUGCACACUGCAGCUAGCUUUCAUGUCUACAGUAGUGCAGAACCACACACACACACCAAGGCGCGAGCACACACAUUGCAGCUUUCACGUUAGCUCAGAGCAGAGACUCAGGCACACAGACACUGCAGCUUUCAUGUUUGCAGUGACCAUGGCAAUUAAAGGCCCCAUUCUGCGCUGGCCAUGGAGAAUAACACACACACAUGGCAGUGCUGUGAGUGCUGGUGCGUUCUAUUUCAGCAGGCUUUGUAAAAUAGAGCACCACCCAGCCCCAGUGAGCAUCACCUAUGCAGUACGACAGACAGACAGACAGACAGACAGACAGACAGAUAGGACAUCCCUCCCCCCACCCAAACCUGAUGAUGAUGAGUCAUGAUGAGACGUCAUGACGGACAGACGCAUCGGCCAAUGGGGACAGCUGGGGAUCCUGUGAGGCUCCACCGAUAGCAGCAAUACAGACACUAGACAGCAGGUCCCUCAGAGCAACCCCCGUAACCCCUGGCAACGGCACUGCUUUAUCUCAGCCACCCCUGAUAACCAGACAGAGAGACAGAGAGAAAGAGAGAGAGACUGCAUUGUCUGUCUGACAGACAGUCUCCUUCACGGACAGACGGACUGCGGUGUUUUGAGAGAGUCUUUCACAGCCCUGUCUGUCUGUGUCUAGAGUCUAGACACCUGGCAGCCAUGGUUACUUAGAGACCCCCCCUCCAGAGAGAGAGGGGGAGAGACAGGGGGAGAGAGAGG